AACGUAGGUACCGAGCGUUAUCCGGAUUUACUGGGCGUAAAGCGUGUUUAGGCGGCCUGGCAAGUCGGGCAUGAAAUCUCUCGGCUCAACCGAGAGAGGCUGUCCGAUACUGCUGGGCUUGAGGACGGUAGAGGGUGGUGGAAUUCCGCGUGUAGUGGUGAAAUGCGUAGAUAUGCGGAGGAACACCAGUGGCGAAGGCGGCUUCCUGGACCGACACUGACGCUGAGGCGCGAAAGCUAGGGGAGCAAACGGG
rnacentral:rRNA from 1 species